rnacentral:lncRNA from 1 species
UCACAGUAAUGUCCCAAAGUAUCAUCUUCACUCCAUCUCCAGUCCUUUUUCCAGGCUCUGUUUGGUUUGUUGGGAACAGAAGAAGAUUUGCUGACAUUUCCAGAGGAUGAGGACGUUUCCAUGCCAGGCACCUCUCCAGGGAAAGAAGAAUGUUUUUGCAUCUUCUCCUGGAAGAUUGAAAUUCCCCAUCUCCCUGGCUUCUCUGUGCUAGUUGAGAUGGGAGGAUCUUUCCUGAGCCAGUGACCUGGAGAGGAUCAGUGAUAGUCCCCUAACUCCACUGGCUACAUCUGGACAGGUAAACCUUAGGACUUCACUUGGUUUUUCCACUCCUACAGGAUACUGGAGUGCUGCAGUCACCCUGGUAAAACAUAUCCCACUUUUAUGGGUCUGUUUUUUGUCAAAAGGGGCCUUUGUUAAAGUGGACUUUCUUAAAUUAAUCUCACACCUGUGAUCCUGAGAUCAUCAUUGACUUUCCAUUUGUCUUAAAAGCCUCUCAAUCUCAUAUUUUAGCAAGCUGGAUUUGUAUCCUCCCAUAUUUCUCCUUCCUUUGAAGAAAUAGCUUUCCAUUUCUCUUUACACUCAUUUGAUGCUUCAUUUGACUUGGACUCCUUUUCCUGGGCAAAUCCUGGAGUCUCUCUGUGAGGGUGGUUAAUAUGAUGUGCCAGUGCAAGGCAGUGUCCUUGCUUAGCCAUCUCCACAAGGACUUACCUGCCUGAGCUCUGCAAUUAUGUGACUUUAAUUGGCUUUUAAUUUGGGAAGAUUACAUAAUAUACUUAAAUGAAAACCACAGAGGUGUUGUUAAUACACAGGUUAUGAAUUUCAAACAAAGUGAUAAGUGACUGAAUUGCUUCUGAGCUCACACAGGCAAAUUCACAUUUUCUUUCCCACGUAUUUAAUGUAAAAUAUACCAGAAAGUUCAUAAUCAGGAAACUACAAGGGUUUAAAACCUAUAUUGCAAAAAAUACAUUUUUGUGGCUCUGGAGGUUGUAAACAUGCUUUCCAUGUCGAGCUGUAUGUUGCAUUUAUGCUGAUUUAAUCAUUCAUUAAACAUUAGUAAGAGGCCAAUUAUGCUGUUCAAGAAUAAGAUGUUUUACGAGGAAAUGACAAAAAGAUACAUGUAAUCAUUGAAAUGCCAGUUUACAAUCAGAUAGGAUGGGAAAUAAUCCCUUUAGCAAGCUUAAGCUUUUAC